AAAUGUCGUCCCAUCGCAACGUCUGCGUUGGUUCUCGGGUGUCGGAUCGUCAAAAGGAGCUUCUGCUGGCUUUUGUGAAAGAGCACCCACAGAUCGCGACGCUGUCGUGCCCGCUGGAGCCGUCGUUCACGAGGGAGGACCGGGACGACAUGUGGCAGGAGCUGGUAGCGCUUUUGAACGAAGUCCCUGCGCGUAACACCACAGCCUUGCCAAACUCCGAGAGCAGCAGAGCGGCACCGGAGGCGGCCAGAUUACGGGUUACCGCGGCCGCGUCGUGCUUGACAGGGACCGCGCGGGUCGACAGUACGCGAGGCCCAAAGUUCGGGUGAUCUGAAUCGGUGAGCCCUGCUCCAGCUGCUGAUGGUGUGGCUGAAGAGGAUGUGGCCCAGGAUCUUCCCCGUGCCCCAACACCUCAUGCCGCAGCUGCGAGAUGGGGGCAACCGGCAGGCCGAGGCGCUGGAGUUACUAGCCGCAAACACCAGGCGGCAGGGCCAGGCAUCAUUGGAAAGCUGCGCCAGG